GGCUGGCCAACUUCGUCCGCCGGACUCGGUAUCCAUUGAGACUUUGUGAGGGGCCUCCGUGUACCAAAAAUAGGCCGCGGGCAAAGCCACGCCCAAAAAUAACCGCCUGAAGUCCGGGGCGCCAAGUUCGUCCUGCGGAAAAAGGCCACAAAAACGGGUGGGCUAUAGCCUUGGGGGGUGGGGCUGGCCAACUUCGUCCGCCGGACUCGGAAUGGUGCGAGACUUUGCGAGGGGCCUCCCUGUGCCAUAAAUAUGCCGUGCGCAAAACCGCGCCCAAAAAUAACCGCCCGAAAGCCGGGGCGCCAACUUCGUCCAGCGGAAAAAAGCCACAAAAACGGGUGGGCUAUAGCCUUGGGGGGUGGGGCUGGCCAACUUCGUCCGCCGAACUCGGAAUGGCGCGAGACAUUGCGAGGCGCCUCCGUGUGCCAAAAAUAGGCCGCGGGUACAGCCGCGCCUAAACAUAACCGCCCGAAGGCCGGGGCGCCAAGUUCGUCCAGCGGACAAAGGCCACAAAAACGGGUGGGCUAUAGCCUUGGGGGGUAGGGCUGGCCGACUUCGUCCGCCGAACUUGGAAUGGCGCGAGACUUUGCGACGCACCUCCGUGUGCCAAAAAUAGGCCACGGGCACAGCCGUGCCUAAACAUAACCGCCCGAAGGCCGGGGCGCCAAGUUCGUCCAGCGGAAAAAGGCCACAAAAACGGGUGGGCUAUAGCCUUGGGGGGUGGGCUAUAGCCUUGGUGGGCGGGGUUGGCCAACUUCGUCCGCCGGACUUGGAAUGGUGCGAGACUUUGCGAGGCACCUCCGUGUGCCUAAAAUAGGCCACGGGCACAGCCGCGCCCAAACAUAACCGCCCGAAGAUCAGGGCGCCAAGUUCGUGCAGCGGAAAAAGGCCACAAAAACGGGUGGGCUAUAGCCUUGGGGGGUGGGGCUGGCCAACUUCGUCCGCCGGACUCGGAAUGGUGCGAGACUUUGCGAGGCACCUCCGUGUGCCAAAAAUAGGCCGCGGGCACAGCCGCACCCAAAAAUAACCGCCCGAAGGCCGGGGCGCCAAGUUCGUCCAGCGCAAAAAGGCCACAAAAACGGGUGGGCUAUAGCCUUGGGGGGUGGGGCUGGCCAACUUCGUCCGCCGGACUCGGAAUGGCGUGAGACUUUGCGAGCAGCCUCCGUGUGCAAAAAAAAAACCGCGGGCACAAAAACUGCCCGAAGGCCGGGGCGCCAAGUUCGUCCAGCGGAAAAAGGCCACAAAAACGGGUGGGCUAUAGCCUUUUGGGGGGUGGGGCUGGCCAACUUCGUCCGCCGGACUCGGAAUGCCGCGAGACUUUGCGAGGGUCUCCGUGUGCCAAAAAUAGCCCGCGAGUAAAGCCGCGCCCAAAAAUAACUGCCCGAAGGCCGGGGCGCCAAGUUCAUCCAGCGGAAAAAGGCCACAAAAACAGUUGGGCUAUAGCCUUGGGGGGUGGGGCUGGCCAACUUCGUCCGCCGGACUCGGAAUGGUGCGAGACUUUGCGAGGGGCCUCCCUGUGCCAAAAAUAUGCCGCGCGCAAAACCGCGCCCAAAAAUAACCGCCCGAAGGCCGGGGCGCCAACUUCGUCCAGCGGAAAGAGGCCACAAAAACGGGUGGGCUAUUGCCUUGGGGGGUGGGGCUGGCCAAAUUCGUCCGCCGGACUCGGAAUCCAUNNNNNNNNNNNNNNNNNNNNNNNNNNNNNNNNNNNNNNNNNNNNNNNNNNNNNNNNNNNNNNNNNNNNNNNNNNNNNNNNNNNNNNNNNNNNNNNNNNNNNNNNNNNNNNNNNNNNNNNNNNNNNNNNNNNNNNNNNNNNNNNNNNNNNNNNNNNNNNNNNNNNNNNNNNNNNNNNNNNNNNNNNNNNNNNNNNNNNNNNNNNNNNNNNNNNNNNNNNNNNNNNNNNNAAACCGCGCCCAAAAAUAACCGCCCGAAAGCCGGGGCGCCAACUUCGUCCAGCGGAAAAAAGCCACAAAAACGGGUGGGCUAUAGCCUUGGGGGGUGGGGCUGGCCAACUUCGUCCGCCGAACUCGGAAUGGCGCGAGACAUUGCGAGGGGCCUCCGUGUGCCAAAAAUAGGCCGCGGGUACAGCCGCGCCUAAACAUAACCGCCCGAAGGCCGGGGCGCCAAGUUCGUCCAGCGGAAAAAGGCCACAAAAACGGGUGGGCUAUAGCCUUGGGGGGUAGGGCUGGCCGACUUCGUCCGCCGAACUUGGAAUGGCGCGAGACUUUGCGACGCACCUCCGUGUGCCAAAAAUAGGCCACGGGCACAGCCGUGCCUAAACAUAACCGCCCGAAGGCCGGGGCGCCAAGUUCGUCCAGCGGAAAAAGGCCACAAAAACGGGUGGGCUAUAGCCUUGGGGGGUGGGCUAUAGCCUUGGUGGGCGGGGUUGGCCAACUUCGUCCACCGGACUUGGAAUGGUGCGAGACUUUGCGAGGCACCUCCGUGUGCCUAAAAUAGGCCACGGGCACAGCCGCGCCCAAACAUAACCGCCCGAAGAUCAGGGCGCCAAGUUCGUGCAGCGGAAAAAGGCCACAAAAACGGGUGGGCUAUAGCCUUGGGGGGUGGGGCUGGCCAACUUCGUCCGCCGGACUCGGAAUGGUGCGAGACUUUGCGAGGGGCCUCCCUGUGCCAUAAAUAUGCCGUGCGCAAAACCUCGCCCAAAAAUAACCGCCCGAAAGCCGGGGCGCCAACUUCGUCCAGCGGAAAAAAGCCACAAAAACGGGUGGGCUAUAGCCUUGGGGGGUGGGGCUGGCCAACUUCGUUCGCCGGACUCGGAAUGCCUCGAGACUUUGCGAGGGGCCUCCCUGUGCCAAAAAUAGGCCGUGCGCAAAGCUGUGCCCAUAAAUAACCGCCCGAAGGCCGGGCCGCCAGGAUCGUCCAGCGGAAAAAGGCCACAAAAACGGGUGGGCUAUAGCCUUGGGGGGUGGGGCUGGCCAACUUCGUCCGCCGGACUCGGAAUGCCGAGAGACUUUGCGAGGGGCCUCCAUGUGCCAAAAAUAUGGCGCGGGCAAAGCCGCGCCCAAAAAUAACCGCCUGAAGGCCGGGGUGCCAAGUUCGUCCGGCGGAAAAAGGCCACAAAAACGGGUGGGCUAUAGCCUUGGGGGGUGGGGCUGGCCAACUUCGUCCGCCGGACUUGGAAUGGCUCGAGACUUUGCGAGGGGCCUCCGUGUGCCAAAAAUAGGCCACGGCCCAAGUCGCGCCCAAAAAUAACCGCCCGAAGGCCGGGGCGCCCAGUUCGUCCAGCAGAAAAAGGCCACAAAAAUGGGUGGGCUAUAGCCUUGGGGGGUGGGGCUGGCCAACUUCGUCCGCCGGACUCGGAAUGGCGCGAGACUUUGCAAGGCUCCUCCGUGUACCAAAAAUAGGCCAUGGGCACAGCCACGCCCAAAAAUAACCGCCGAAGGCCGGGGCGCCAAGAUCGUCCAGCAGAAAAAGGCUACAAAAACGGGUGGGCUAUAGCCUUGGGGGGUGGGGCUGGCCCACUUCGUCCGCCGGACUCGGAAUGGUGCGAGACUUUGCGAGGCACCUCCGUGUGCCAAAAAUAGGCUGCGGGGACAGCCGCGUCCAAAAAUAACAGCCCGAUGGCCGUGGCGCCAAGUUCGUCCAGCGGAAAAAGGCCACAAAAACGUGUGGUCUAUAGCCUUGGGGGGUGGGGCUGGCCAACUUCGUCCGCCGGGCUCGGAAUUGCGCGAGACUUUGUGAGGCGCCACCGUGUGCCAAAAAUAGGCUGCGGGCGCAGCCGCGACCAAAAAUAACUGCCCAAAAGCCGGGGGGCCAAGUUCGUCCAGCGCAAAAAGGCCACAAAAACGUGUGGGCUAUAGCCUUCGGGGGUGGGGCUUGCCAACUUCAUCCGCCGGACUCGGAAUGGCGCGAGACUAUGCGAGGCACCUCCGUGUGCCAAAAAUAGGCCACGGACACAGCCGUGCCCAAAAAUAACUGCCCGAAGGCCGGGGCGCCAAGUUCGUCCAGCGGAAAAACGCCACCAAAACGGGUGGGCUAUAGCCUUGGGGGGUGGGGCUGGCCAACUUAGUCCGCCGGACUCGGAAUGGUGCGAGACUUUCCGAGGCACCUCCGUGUGCCAAAAAUAGGCCACGGGCACAGCCGCUUCCAAAAAUAACCGCCUGAAGGCUGGGGCGCAAAGUCCGUCCCGCGGAAAAACGCCCCAAAAACGGGUGGGCUAUAGCCUUGGGGGGUGGGGCCGGCCAACAUGGUACGCCAGACUCGGAAUGGUGCGAGACUUUGCGAGGCUCCUCCGUGUGCCAAAAAUAGGCCACGGGCACAGCCGCGCCCAAAAAUAACCGCCCGAAGGCUUGGGCGCCAAGUUCGUCCAGCGGAAAAAGGCCACAAAAACGGGUGGGCUCUAGCCUUGGGGGGUGGGGCUGGCCAACUACGUCCACCGGACUCGGAAUGGCGGGAGACUUUGCGAGGCGCCUCCGUAUGCCAAAAAUAGGCAGCGGGCACAGCCGCGCCCAAACAUAACCACCUGAAGGCCGGGGUGCCAAGUUCGUCCAACGGAAAAAGGCCACAAAAACGGGUGGGCUCUAGCCUUGGGGGGUGGGGCUUGCCAACUUCGUCCGCCGAACUCGGAAUGGCGCGAGACAUUGCGAGGCCGCACCGUGUGCCAAAAAUAUGCAGCGGGCACAGCCGCGCCUAAACAUAACCGCCCGAAGGCCGGGGAGCCAAGUUCGUCCAGCGGAAAAAGGCCACAAAAACGGGUGGGCUAUAGCCUUGGGGGGUGGGGCUGGCCAACUUCGUCCGCCGAACUUGGAAUGGCGCGACACUUUGCGAGGCACCUCCGUGUGCCAAAAAUAGGCCGCGGGCACAGCCGCGCCUAAACAUAACCGCCCGAAGGCCGGGGCGCCUAUUUCGUCCAGCGGAAAAACGCCACAAAAACGGGUGGGCUAUAGCCUUGGGGGGUGGGCUAUAGCCUUGGUGGGCGGGACUGGCCAACUUCGUCCGCCGGACUCGGAAUGGCACGAGACUUUGCGAGGCGCCUCCGUGUGCCAAAAAUAGGCCAUGGGCACAGCCGCGCCCAAACAUAACCGCCCGAAGGCCGGGGCGCCAAGUUCGUCCAGCGGAAAAAGGCCACAAAAACGGGUGGGCUAUAGCCUUGGUGGGUGGGGCUGGCCAACUUCGUCCGCCGGACUCGGAAUUCCGCGAGACUUUGCGAGGCGCCUCCGUGUGCCAAAAAUAGGCCGCGGACACAGCCGCGUCCAAAAAUAACUGCCCGAAGGCCGGGGCGCCAAGUUCGUCCAGCGGAAAAAGGACACAAAAACGGGUGGGCUAUAGCCUUGGGGGGUGGGGCUGGCCAACUUCGUCCGCCGGACUCGGAAUGCCACAAGACUUUGCGAGGGGCCUCCGUGUGCCAAAAACAGGCCGCGGGCAAAACCGUGCCCAAAAAUAACCGCCCGAAGGCUGGGGCGCCACGUUCGUCCGGCGGAAAAAGGCCACAAAAACGGGUGGGCUAUAGCCUUGGGGGGUGGGGCUGGCCACCUUCGUCCGCCGGACUCGGAAUGCAUCGAGACUUUAUGAGGGGCCUCCGUGUUCCAAAAAUAGGCCGCGGGCAAAGCCACGCCCAAAAAUAACCGCCCGAAGGUCGGGGCGCCAAGUUCGUCCCGCGGAAAGAGGCCACAAAAACGGGUGGGCUAUAGCCUUAGGGGGUGGGGCUAGCCAACUUCGUCCGCCGGACUCGGAAUGCAUCGAGACUUUGAGAGGGGCCUCCCUGUGCCAAAAAUAGGCCGCGCGCAAAACCGCGCCCAAAAAUAACCGCCCGAAGGCCGGGGCGCCAAGUUCGUCCAGCUGAAAAAGGCCACAAAAACGGGUGGGCUAUAGCCUUGGGGGGUGGGGUUGGCCAACUUCGUCCGCCGGACUCGGAAUGCCGCAAGACUUUGCGAGGGGCCUCCGUGUGCCAAAAAUAGGCUGCGGGUAAAGCCGCGCCCAAAAAUAACUGCCCGAAGGCCGGGGCGCCAAGUUCGUCCAGCUGAAAAAGGCCACAAAAACGGGUGGGCUAUAGCCUUGGGGGGUGGGGCUCGCCAACUUCGUCCGCCGGACUCGGAAUGCAUCGAGACUUUGAGAGGGGCCUCCCUGUGCCAAAAAUAGGCCGCGAGCAAAGCCGCGCCCAAAAAUAACCGCCGGAAGGCCGGGGCGCCAAGUUCGUCCAGCGGAAAAAGGCCACAAAAACGGGUGGGCUAUAGCCUUGGGGGGUGGGGUUGGCCAACUUCGUCCGCCGGACUCGGAAUGCCGCAAGACUUUGCGAGGGGCCUCCGUGUGCCAAAAAUAGGCCGCGGGUAAAGCCGCACCCAAAAAUAACAGCCCGAAGGCCUGGGUGCCAAGUUCGUCCAACUGAAAAAGGCCACAAAAACGGGUGGGCUAUAGCCUUGGGGGGUGGGGCUGGCCAACUUCGUCCGCCGGACUCGGAAUGGCGCGAGACAUUGCGAGGGGCCUCCCUGUGCCAAAAAUAGGCCGCACGCAAAACCGCGCCCAAAAAUAACCGCCUGAAGGCCGGGGCGCCAAGUUCGUCCAGCGGAAAGAGGCCACAAAAACAGGUGGGCUAUAGCCUUGGGGGGUGGGGAUGGCCAACUUCGUCCGCCGGACUCGGAAUGCCGCGAGACUUUGCGAGGGGCCUCCAUAUGCCAAAAAUAGGCCGCGACCAAAGCCGCACCCAAAAAUAACCGUCCGAAGGCCGGGGCGCCAAGUUCGUCCGCCGGACUUGGAAUGGCGCGAGACUUUGCGAGGGUCCUCCGUGUGCCAAAAACAGGCCGCGGGCAAAGCUGCGCCCAAAAAUAACCACCCGAAGGCCGGGGCGCCAAGUUCGUCCAGCGGAAAGAGGCCACAAAAACGGGUGGGCUAUAGCCUUGGGGGGUGGGGCUGGCCAACUUCGUCCGCCGGACUCGGAAUGGCGCGAGACUUUGCGAGGGGCCUCCCUGUGCCAAAAAUAGGCCGCGCACAAAACCGCGCCCAAAAAUAACUGCCCGAAGGCCGGGGCGCCAAGUUCGUCCAGCGGAAAGAGGCCACAAAAACGGGUGGGCUAUAGCCUUGGGGGGUGGGGAUGGCCAACUUCGUCCGGCGGACUCGGAAUGCCGCGAGACUUUGCGAGGGGCCUCCGUGUGCGAAAAAUAGGCCGCAGGCAAAGAUGCACCCAAAAAUAACCGCCCGAAGGCCGGGGCGCCAAGUUCGUCCUGCGGAAAAAGCCCACAAAAACGGGUGGGCUAUAGCCUUGGGGGGUGGGGCUGGCCAACUUCGUUCGCCGGACUCGGAAUGGCGCGAGACUUUGCGAGCGGCCUCCAUGUGCCAAACAUAUGCCGCGGGCACAGCCGUACCCAAAAAUAACCGCCCGAAGGCCGGGGCGCCAAGUUCGUCCAGCGCAAAAAGGCCACAAAAACGGGUGGGCUAUAGCCUUGGGGGGUGGGGCUGGCCAACUUCGUCCGCCGGACUCGGAAUGGUGUGAGACUUUGCGAGCAGCCUCCGUUUGCAAAAAAAAAACCGCGGGCACAAAAACUGCCCGAAGGCCGGGGCGCCAAGUUCGUCCAGCGGAAAAAGGCCACAAAAACGGGUGGGCUAUAGCCUUGGGGGGUGGGGCUGGCCAACUUCGUCCGCCUGACUCGGAAUGCCGGGAGACUUUGCGAGGGUCCUCCAUGUUCCAAAAAUAGCCCGCGGGUAAAGCCGCGCCCAAAAAUAACUGCCCGAAGGCCAGGGCGCCAAGUUCGUCCAGCGGAAAAAGGCCACAAAAACGGUUGGGCUAUAGCCUUGGGGGGUGGGGCUGGCCAACUUCGUCCGCCGGACUCGGAAUGCCGCGAGACUUUGCGAGGGGCCUCCGUGUGCAAAAAAUAGGCCGCGGACAAAACCGUGCCCAAAAAUAACUGCCCGAAGGCCGGGGCGCCAAGUUCGUCCAGCGGAAAAACGCCACAAAAACGGGUGGGCUAUAGCCUUGGGGGGUGGGGCUGGCCAACUUCGUCCGCCGGACUCGGAAUGCCGCGAGACUUUGCGAGGGGCCUCCAUGUGCCAAAAAUAGGCCGCAGGUAAAACCGCGCCCAAAAAAUAACCGCCCGAAGGCCGGGGCGCCAAGUUCGUCCGGCGGAAAAAGGCCACAAAAACGGGUGGCUAUAGCCUUGGGGGGUCGGGCUGGCCAACUUCGUCCGCCGGACUCGGAAUGCAUCGAGACUUUGUGAGGGGCCUCCGUGUGCCAAAAAUAGGCCGCGGGCAAAGCCACGCCCAAAAAUAACUGCCCGAAGGCCGGGGCGCCAAGUUCGUCCUGCGGAAAAAGGCCACAAAAACGGGUGGGCUAUAGCCUUGGGGGUUGGCGCUGGCCAACUUCGUCCGCCGGACUCGGAAUGCCACGAGACUUUGCGAGGGGCCUCCGUGUGCCAAAAAUAGGCCGCGGGCAAAGCCGCGCCCAAAAAUAACCGCCCGAAGGCCGGGGCGCCAAGUUCGUCCAGCGGAAAGAGGCCACCAAAACGGGUGGGCUAUAGCCUUGGGGGGUGGGGCUGGCCAAC
rnacentral:lncRNA from 1 species